rnacentral:misc_RNA from 1 species
CAGAAUUUUAAGACUAUUGGCUGUGCUGGCUUUCGAGCAUGUGCACGCUUCUAGUCAAAAUCUUCUUCAACCACUGUGCACCUUUUGUGGACCUUUGCAGAAAGCGCGAAUUGAGACGCUGCGCCUAACACGCGCUUGUCUUGUUUUUGUGCGCAUAUAUGCAUAGGUUCAUGUUUUACUACACACUAUAACUUAAUCUCAGAAUGUAUCGUUUAGAGUUGGGACUCGCGCCCUUCUUUAUACAAUGUCUAUA